rnacentral:rRNA from 1 species
UGGGUAUCUACCCUUUGGUCUGGAAUAACACGAGGAAACUUGUGCUAAUACCGGAUAAGCCUUCACAGGGAAAGUUUUAAUGCCAAAAGAUGAGCCCGCACUUGAUUAGCUAGUUGGUAAGGUAAUAGCUUACCAAGGCAACGAUCAAUAGCUGUUCUUAGAGGAAGACCAGCCACAUUGGGACUGAGACACGGCCCAAACUCCUACGGGAGGCAGCAGUGGGGAAUCUUGCACAAUGGGGGCAACCCUGAUGCAGCGAUGCCGCGUGAGUGAAGAAGGCCUUUGGGUUGUAAAACUCUUUCGUCGGGGAAGAAAAUGACUGUACCCGAAUAAGAAGGUCCGGCUAACUUCGUGCCAGCAGCCGCGGUAAUACGAAGGGACCUAGCGUAGUUCGGAAUUACUGGGCUUAAAGAGCUCGUAGGUGGUUAAAAAAGUUGAUGGUGAAAUCCCAAGGCUCAACCUUGGAACUGCCAUCAAAACUUUUUAGCUAGAGUAUGAUAGAGGAAAGUGGAAUUUCUAGUGUAGAGGUGAAAUUCGUAGAUAUUAGAAAGAACAUCAAAAGCGAAG